rnacentral:rRNA from 1 species
AGUGGACGCUGGCGGUAGGCCUAACACAUGCAAGUCGAACGGCAGCACAGUAAGAGCUUGCUCUUACGGGUGGCGAGUGGCGGACGGGUGAGGAAUACAUCGGAAUCUACUUUUUCGUGGGGGAUAACGUAGGGAAACUUACGCUAAUACCGCAUACGACCUACGGGUGAAAGCAGGGGAUCUUCGGACCUUGCGCGAUUGAAUGAGCCGAUGUCGGAUUAGCUAGUUGGCGGGGUAAAGGCCCACCAAGGCGACGAUCCGUAGCUGGUCUGAGAGGAUGAUCAGCCACACUGGAACUGAGACACGGUCCAGACUCCUACGGGAGGCAGCAGUGGGGAAUAUUGGACAAUGGGCGCAAGCCUGAUCCAGCCAUACCGCGUGGGUGAAGAAGGCCUUCGGGUUGUAAAGCCCUUUUGUUGGGAAAGAAAAGCAGCAGGUUAAUACCCCGCUGUUCUGACGGUACCCAAAGAAUAAGCACCGGCUAACUUCAUG